rnacentral:tRNA from 1 species
AGGUUUGUGGCCUAGUGGGUUAAGGCGUCAAUGCUAUAGCUCGGGGGUCGAGGGUUCGAAUCCCACCAAAUCUU